rnacentral:piRNA from 1 species
AAAAGUCGUUGAUGUUGGACGUUUCGUGGA